AUUGAACGCUGGCGGUAGGCCUAACACAUGCAAGUCGAACGGCAGCACAGUAAGAGCUUGCUCUUACGGGUGGCGAGUGGCGGACGGGUGAGGAAUACAUCGGAAUCUACUUUUUCGUGGGGGAUAACGUAGGGAAACUUACGCUAAUACCGCAUACGACCUACGGGUGAAAGCAGGGGAUCUUCGGACCUUGCGCGAUUGAAUGAGCCGAUGUCGGAUUAGCUAGUUGGCGGGGUAAAGGCCCACCAAGCCGACGAUCCGUAGCUGGUCUGAGAGGAUGAGCGGGCACACUGGAACUGAGAGACGGUCCAGACUACUACGGGAGGCAGCAGUGGGGAAUAGUGGACAAUGGGCGAAAGCCUGAUCCAGCCAUGGCGCGUGUGUGAAGAAGGUCUGCGGAUUGUAAAGCACUUUAAGUUGGGAGGAAGGGCAGUAAGUUAAUACCUUGCUGUUUUGACGUUACCAACAGAAUAAGCACCGGCUAACUUCGUG
rnacentral:rRNA from 1 species